rfam:Gossypium arboreum cultivar AKA8401 contig_2508_3, whole genome shotgun sequence.
AACCCAUGGUGAGGGCUCCUUCUCAAUAAAUCCUUAUGCCUCUCCCAUGCAUUGUAUAGGGUCUCUAAGUCCAUUUGUACAAAAGCAGAGAUAUCAUUCCUCAAUUU